rnacentral:rRNA from 1 species
UACAGAGGUCCCAAGCGUUGUUCGGAUUCAUUGGGCGUAAAGGGUGCGUAGGUGGCGCCGUAAGUGGGGUGUGAAAUUUCGGAGCUUAACUCCGAAACUGCAUUCCAUACUGCGGUGCUUGAGGACUGGAGAGGAGACUGGAAUUUACGGUGUAGCGGUGAAAUGCGUAGAUAUCGUAAGGAAGACCAGUGGCGAAGGCGGGUCUCUGGACAGUUCCUGACGCUGAGGCACGAAGGCCAGGGGAGCAAACGGG